rnacentral:lncRNA from 1 species
AACAUGUUUUCACAUCUGACACACAGCCGUUCCUUGGCGUUGGCUAAGUCUCACUCUCACGUGGUGGCCCGAACGUGAGGUGCACUCAAAUCAUACCUCAGGAGAUACUUCACCCAACAUCUCACCCCGGAGGUAAGUAUAUAAUUGGGUUACCGUACCCCUCUCAUAGGCAGUCCACGGAAACCCCCACCACUGCAGUGAUCGUUUAAUAUACCACCAGACCCAUAAAAAUUCCAGUAGCAUAAUAUGGCGAAUAAAAUGUAAUCCAGUCUACCGAGACCAAUCUAAAACUAUUCAUAUAUUUCAUGCCAACCCCAAAAAUUUAGCCGUCAUGCUACCAUAGUGUCAUAAGCCACAAUUUCAAUAACAUAUAAAAUCAUAAAUUUCAACACAAUCUCCAUAUACUCAAUUUUCUCAAAACA